rnacentral:rRNA from 1 species
AUUGAACGCUGGCGGCAUGACUAACACAUGCAAGUCGAACGAGUGGCGGACGGGUGAGCAAUGUCUGGGAAACUGCCUGAUGGAGGGGGAUAAAUACUGGAAACGGUAGCUAAAACCGCAUACCUUCGGAUGUGCCCGGAUGGGAUUAGCUAGUAGGUGGGGUAAAGGGUCACCUAGCCGACGAUCCCUAGCUGGUCGGAGAGGAGGAACAGCAAAACUGAAACUGAGACACGGUGCAGACUCCGACGGGAGGCGGCGGUGGGGAAUAUUGCACAAGGGGCGAAAGCCGGAUGCAGCCAUGCCGCGUGUAGGAAGAAGGCCUUCGGGUGGUAAAGUAAUUUCAGCGGGGAGGCGGUACCCGACGAAGAAGCCCCGGCUAACUACGUGCCAGCAGCCGCGGUAAUUC